rnacentral:rRNA from 1 species
UCCUGACUGACCGAUAGUGAACCAGUACCGUGAGGGAAAGGCGAAAAGAACCCCGGCGAGGGGAGUGAAAAAGAACCUGAAACCGUGUACGUACAAGCAGUGGGAGCACGCUUAGGCGUGUGACUGCGUACCUUUUGUAUAAUGGGUCAGCGACUUAUAUUCUGUAGCAAGGUUAACCGAAUAGGGGAGCCGAAGGGAAACCGAGUCUUAACUGGGCGUUAAGUUGCAGGGUAUAGACCCGAAACCCGGUGAUCUAGCCAUGGGCAGGUUGAAGGUUGGGUAACACUAACUGGAGGACCGAACCGACUAAUGUUGAAAAAUUAGCGGAUGACUUGUGGCUGGGGGUGAAAGGCCAAUCAAACCGGGAGAUAGCUGGUUCUCCCCGAAAGCUAUUUAGGUAGCGCCUCGUGAAUUCAUCUCCGGGGGUAGAGCACUGUUUCGGCAAGGGGGUCAUCCCGACUUACCAACCCGAUGCAAACUGCGAAUACCGGAGAAUGUUAUCACGGGAGACACACGGCGGGUGCUAACGUCCGUCGUGAAGAGGGAAACAACCCAGACCGCCAGCUAAGGUCCCAAAGUCAUGGUUAAGUGGGAAACGAUGUGGGAAGGCCCAGACAGCCAGGAUGUUGGCUUAGAAGCAGCCAUCAUUUAAAGAAAGCGUAAUAGCUCACUGGUCGAGUCGGCCUGCGCGGAAGAUGUAACGGGGCUAAACCAUGCACCGAAGCUGCGGCAGCGACGCUUAUGCGUUGUUGGGUAGGGGAGCGUUCUGUAAGCCUGCGAAGGUGUGCUGUGAGGCAUGCUGGAGGUAUCAGAAGUGCGAAUGCUGACAUAAGUAACGAUAAAGCGGGUGAAAAGCCCGCUCGCCGGAAGACCAAGGGUUCCUGUCCAACGUUAAUCGGGGCAGGGUGAGUCGACCCCUAAGGCGAGGCCGAAAGGCGUAGUCGAUGGGAAACAGGUUAAUAUUCCUGUACUUGGUGUUACUGCGAAGGGGGGACGGAGAAGGCUAUGUUGGCCGGGCGACGGUUGUCCCGGUUUAAGCGUGUAGGCUGGUUUUCCAGGCAAAUCCGGAAAAUCAAGGCUGAGGCGUGAUGACGAGGCACUACGGUGCUGAAGCAACAAAUGCCCUGCUUCCAGGAAAAGCCUCUAAGCAUCAGGUAACAUCAAAUCGUACCCCAAACCGACACAGGUGGUCAGGUAGAGAAUACCAAGGCGCUUGAGAGAACUCGGGUGAAGGAACUAGGCAAAAUGGUGCCGUAACUUCGGGAGAAGGCACGCUGAUAUGUAGGUGAAGUCCCUUGCGGAUGGAGCUGAAAUCAGUCGAAGAUACCAGCUGGCUGCAACUGUUUAUUAAAAACACAGCACUGUGCAAACACGAAAGUGGACGUAUACGGUGUGACGCCUGCCCGGUGCCGGAAGGUUAAUUGAUGGGGUCAGCGCAAGCGAAGCUCUUGAUCGAAGCCCCGGUAAACGGCGGCCGUAACUAUAACGGUCCUAAGGUAGCGAAAUUCCUUGUCGGGUAAGUUCCGACCUGCACGAAUGGCGUAAUGAUGGCCAGGCUGUCUCCACCCGAGACUCAGUGAAAUUGAACUCGCUGUGAAGAUGCAGUGUACCCGCGGCAAGACGGAAAGACCCCGUGAACCUUUACUAUAGCUUGACACUGAACAUUGAGCCUUGAUGUGUAGGAUAGGUGGGAGGCUUUGAAGUGUGGACGCCAGUCUGCAUGGAGCCGGCCUUGAAAUACCACCCUUUAAUGUUUGAUGUUCUAACGUGGACCCGUGAUCCGGGUUGCGGACAGUGUCUGGUGGGUAGUUUGACUGGGGCGGUCUCCUCCUAAAGAGUAACGGAGGAGCACGAAGGUUGGCUAAUCCUGGUCGGACAUCAGGAGGUUAGUGCAAUGGCAUAAGCCAGCUUGACUGCGAGCGUGACGGCGCGAGCAGGUGCGAAAGCAGGUCAUAGUGAUCCGGUGGUUCUGAAUGGAAGGGCCAUCGCUCAACGGAUAAAAGGUACUCCGGGGAUAACAGGCUGAUACCGCCCAAGAGUUCAUAUCGACGGCGGUGUUUGGCACCUCGAUGUCGGCUCAUCACAUCCUGGGGCUGAAGUAGGUCCCAAGGGUAUGGCUGUUCGCCAUUUAAAGUGGUACGCGAGCUGGGUUUAGAACGUCGUGAGACAGUUCGGUCCCUAUCUGCCGUGGGCGCUGGAGAACUGAGGGGGGCUGCUCCUAGUACGAGAGGACCGGAGUGGACGCAUCACUGGUGUUCGGGUUGUCAUGCCAAUGGCACUGCCCGGUAGCUAAAUGCGGAAGAGAUAAGUGCUGAAAGCAUCUAAGCACGAAACUUGCCCCGAGAUGAGUUCUCCCUGACCCUUUAAGGGUCCUGAAGGAACGUUGAAGACGACGACGUUGAUAGGCCGGGUGUGUAAGCGCAGCGAUGCGUUGAGCUAACCGGUACUAAUGAACCGUGAGGCUUAACCUUACAACGCCGAAG